CUGGCGGCGUGCUUAACACAUGCAAGUCGAACGAACCUUCGGGUUAGUGGCGGACGGGUGAGUAACGCGUGAGAAUCUGCCCUCAGGAGGGGGACAACAGCUGGAAACGGCUGCUAAUACCCCAUAUGCCGCGAGGUGAAAUGAAUUUCGCCUGAGGAUGAGCUCGCGUCUGAUUAGCUAGUUGGUGUAGGUAAUGGCUCACCAAGGCAUCGAUCAGUAGCUGGUCUGAGAGGAUGAUCAGCCACACUGGGACUGAGACACGGCCCAGACUCCUACGGGAGGCAGCAGUGGGGAAUUUUCCGCAAUGGGCGAAAGCCUGACGGAGCAACGCCGCGUGAGGG
rnacentral:rRNA from 1 species